GAUCAAAUAAUCUGUAAUAAUAUUAAUUUCUUCAAACUGACACAGAUAUUUCUCAGAAAAAACAUUUUCUCUCAAGGCUCAUCUCAACAGACGUAAGAGACAGAGGCAAGAGAUAUUGUAAAGUUUUUCAGAAAGUUGUAUCAGAGAGGAAUGAUUUUAUGGCCAUGUGCUUUACUUUAAAUGACUCUAACGACUGAUGCCAGUCUAGGUGUUCUGAAACAAUUAAAUGUGAUCUCUACCUAAUAAGCUAUUUAAAGCAAUCCUUUGGAAGCAUAGAACGCAACCCAACAGCAUGACAGCAAUCUCGGUUUGACUCUGUCUGAUCAUGGGAGGUAAUAAAAUGUGCGUCUACACACACAUGCUGAUAUUAAUUAGACGGAAUAUAAACCUUAUUAAAUCGAAGAACAAAAUAGACAAUUUCUGCAAACAAGUAAAUUUGCAAACUUGAAUACUGGAGUUUGUCUUAUGCUAUCUAAUAAUUUAAGAUCGGUAGCGAUUCAAUGUUGAUGAAUAACGAUCCGCUUAGUUCUGGAGCGUGUCUAGUUAAUUUAUCUACAGAAUGCCAACAUUAUUGCAAUGUGCUUUAUUUUUGUUUUGUUUUAUUCUACAGAUGAAUGCAAUGACGAUCCGUAUCCAACAAAUUCUGAUUGUAUCAAUGCAAUAGGUAGUUAUAUAUGUAACUGCUGACAUGUGCAGGGAUUCUGGCCAAGUAUCCUAAUAAUCAUUUUCUAAAGUUACUUCCCUUUAUUGAUUUCCUCCAUCACAUGUUAAUGUGGUUACCUCCCCUAUAAAAAUUUCCCCCAUUUAUCUGUUGAAUUACUUUGGCGUCAUUUUGUACAUUCUCGGUGUCUUUUAGUGUUGCUUCAAGAAAAUUAUUCCAGAUAUAUUAAUUACAGUCAAGUUUGCUUUGAUGUCAUCUUUAUCACAAUGUCACACAGGAAAAUCAGUUAUAAAGCUGUGUUGACCUCACUGUCAGGAACAUUUGCUCUUCCAUCAUCAGAAAUGCUGCUCCUAAAUGAGAGUGUAACAAGUCAGUUUAUAGACAUCAAUGUUGUGGAAUUUCAUGUUAAUCCGUUCCUGUGGAGUGACAACGCUAGAUUUGUAGACUCACAAGUGGUGUAGAAUAUCUUAGAGCCAAUUGUUAUUGAUAUAUCAGUGGACAGUAUAGAUGCGACAGCCAGUCAUAUACAGGCAAUAAUUCCAGAUUCUGAAGACCUGCAACAUCAUAAAGUGAAGACACAUGUUGGAGGAUCUGAGGCACCGGUACAGCUUCAAGUUUGCCAGACUUUGGAACAAUGAACAGAUUUCACCUUUUUAAAGGAUUCCGUUAUACUGUCAUUGGUGUGAAUAUCUAGGUUUUUGAUGUUGUAUUCCAUAAGCUUUAAGUUAAAAAAUUAUCCAAUCUGACUAAAGUUCUUGAUCAUCUUAAAAGUUAGGUAUGAAGACAGCCUUUCUGCAUAAUCUAGAUUUCCAUGGAACAUAAGAACAUGAGAUUUUGUUUCUAAACUAUCUUUCAGAAAUAUGACAUCAAGAAAUAAUAACAACCAAGUCUGGAAUCUAACCCAGGCUGCUGUGGCAGUUUAGCGCAGUUAGAGAUGUUUUACUCUCUACUCCUUUUUCUAGUUAAAUAUGAAAUUGAACAGUUGGGGACAAUCCUAGUUAAUUGUGUAAAAAAAGCUUCAGCGGGUAAAAAUUUAAAAUGUUGGUCUGUAUGUAAUGGAAAGGCAAUUAUAAUGAAAAACGUUUUUUUACAAGUAAAAAGACGAAGAGUUAUGAAAAUGCAGUAUGUGGUUGUUACCGUAUACUUUUUUUGCAAGAUGUAUUAAUGUUUUAUUUAGUGC
rnacentral:misc_RNA from 1 species